rnacentral:rRNA from 1 species
UGGGGAAUAUUGCACAAUGGGCGCAAGCCUGAUGCAGCCAUGCCGCGUGUGUGAAGAAGGCCUUCGGGUUGUAAAGCACUUUCAGCGGGGAGGAAGGCGAUAAGGUUAAUAACCUUGCCGAUUGAUGUUACCCGCAGAAGAAGCACCGGCUAACUCCGUGCCAGCAGCCGCGGUAAUACGGAGGGUGCAAGCGUUAAUCGGAAUUACUGGGCGUAAAGCGCACGCAGGCGGUCUGUCAAGUCGGAUGUGAAAUCCCCGGGCUCAACCUGGGAACUGCAUUCGAAACUGGCAGGCUAAAGUCUUGUAGAGGGGGGUAGAAUUCCAGGUGUAGCGGUGAAAUGCGUAGAGAUCUGGAGGAAUACCGGUGGCGAAGGCGGCCCCCUGGACAAAGACUGAAGCUCAGGUGCGAAAGCGUGGGGAGCAAACAGG